rnacentral:tRNA from 1 species
GUUACUAGGGUGUGGUGUAGCAUAUUAGGUUUUCGUCCUAAUGGUGUAGGGGGUCUCCUACUUGUAAUU